rnacentral:rRNA from 1 species
CUCGUUCGACACAGUCGAAAUCGUAACGACUCUCGGCAACGGAUAUCUCGGCUCUCGCAUCGAUGAAGAACGUAGCGAAAUGCGAUACUUGGUGUGAAUUGCAGAAUCCCGUGAACCAUCGAGUCUUUGAACGCAAGUUGCGCCCGAAGCCGUCAGGCCGA